rnacentral:rRNA from 1 species
GACGAACGCUGGCGGCGUGCUUAACACAUGCAAGUCGAACGGUAAGGCCCUUCGGGGUACACGAGUGGCGAACGGGUGAGUAACACGUGGGUGAUCUGCCCUGCACUUCGGGAUAAGCCUGGGAAGCUGGGUCUAAUACCGGAUAGGACCACUGCCUGCAUGGGUGGUGGUGGAAAGCUUUUGCGGUGUGGGAUGGGCCCGCGGCCUAUCAGCUUGGUGGUGGGGUGAUGGCCUACCAAGGCGACGACGGGUAGCCGGCCUGAGAGGGUGACCGGCCACACUGGGACUGAGAUACGGCCCAGACUCCUACGGGAGGCAGCAGUGGGGAAUAUUGCACAAUGGGCGCAAGCCUGAUGCAGCGACGCCGCGUGAGGGAUGACGGCCUUCGGGUUGUAAACCUCUUUCAGCACCGACGAAGCGCAAGUGACGGUAGGUGCAGAAGAAGGACCGGCCAACUACGUGCCAGCAGCCGCGGUAA